GAUGAACGCUGACAGAAUGCUUAACACAUGCAAGUCAACUUGAACUUCGGUUUGGGUGGCGGACGGGUGAGUAACGCAUAAAGAACUUGCCUCACAGAUAGGGACAACAUUUGGAAACGAAUGCUAAUACCUGAUAUUAUGAUUAUAUGGCAUCGUAUAAUUAUGAAAGCUAUAUGCGCUGUGAGAGAGCUUUGCGUCCCAUUAGCUAGUUGGAGAGGUAACGGCUCACCAAGGCGAUGAUGGGUAGCCGGCCUGGGAGGGUGAUCGGCCACAAGGGGACUGAGACACGGCCCGUACUCCUACGGGAGGCAGCAGUGGGGAAUAUUGGACAAUGGACCAAGAGUCUGAUCCAGCAAUUCUGUGUGCACGAUGAAGUUUUUCGGAAUGUAAAGUGCUUUCAGUUGGGAAGAAAAAAAUGACGGUACCAACAGAAGAAGUGACGGCUAAAUACGUG
rnacentral:rRNA from 1 species